CCUUUACAGUGUAAAUCGUUCGUGAGCACAUACCAAGUACGCAUCUACUCAAAAAAUUUGGUACCAGCUCGCGGGAUUUGAACAUCGUGGU